GAUGAACGCUGGCGGCGUGCCUAACACAUGCAAGUCGAGCGAUUUACUUCGGUAAAGAGCGGCGGACGGGUGAGUAACGCGUGGGUAACCUGCCCUGUACACACGGAUAACAUACCGAAAGGUAUGCUAAUACGAGAUAAUAUGCUUUUAUCGCAUGGUAGAAGUAUCAAAGCUUUUGCGGUACAGGAUGGACCCGCGUCUGAUUAGCUAGUUGGUGAGGUAACGGCUCACCAAGGCGACGAUCAGUAGCCGACCUGAGAGGGUGAUCGGCCACAUUGGAACUGAGACACGGUCCAAACUCCUACGGGAGGCAGCAGUGGGGAAUAUUGCACAAUGGGCGAAAGCCCGAUGCAGCAACGCCGCGUGAGCGAUGAAGGCCUUCGGGUCGUAAAGCUCUGUCCUCAAGGAAGAUAAUGACGGUACUUGAGGAGGAAGCCCCGGCUAACUACGUG
rnacentral:rRNA from 1 species